GAUGAACGCUGGCGGCGUGCCUAAUACAUGCAAGUCGAGCGAACAGACGAGGAGCUUGCUCCUCUGACGUUAGCGGCGGACGGGUGAGUAACACGUGGAUAACCUACCUAUAAGACUGGGAUAACUUCGGGAAACCGGAGCUAAUACCGGAUAAUAUAUUGAACCGCAUGGUUCAAUAGUGAAAGACGGUUUUGCUGUCACUUAUAGAUGGAUCCGCGCCGCAUUAGCUAGUUGGUAAGGUAACGGCUUACCAAGGCAACGAUGCGUAGCCGACCUGAGAGGGUGAUCGGCCACACUGGAACUGAGCCACGGUCCAGACUCCUACGGGAGGCAGCAGUAGGGAAUCUUCCGCAAAGGGCGAAAGCCUGACGGAGCAACGCCGCGUGAGUGAUGAGGGUCUUCGGAUCGUAAAACUCUGUUAUUAGGGAAGAACAAAUGUGUAAGUAACUAUGCACGUCUUGACGGUACCUAAUCAGAAAGCCACGGCUAACUACGUG
rnacentral:rRNA from 1 species